AAAUCUACCCACCUCCUCAGACCUCACUCCACUCACCGUUGCCAAAAGCUCCCACCCACCUCUCAUGGGCAGGGUUCAUGUCACGGCAGCCGGCCGCCCGCCCGCCCGCGUUCGGCGGCGCGCAUGCAGCAUACACCGCCCCAGGCCCGAUCGAUGGAGGGGAGGGGAGCGCCCGCGAGAACCCUAAAAAGCCUCCGCUCAACCUCUAUGCUGGAUGGGAUCAGCUGGACGGAGGCCUGGAGCGUCCAGCACUCCAGCCUGCCACACGCCUGGGCUGGGGCCCACCUCCCCGCUAUAAAGCGGAGCCGCCGGGUUACCGUUGAAGUCUGAGGAGACCUGAUCCACAAGCACCGCCGCCGUGUGCCAGAGAUGAGAUGCCAUGGAAGAGCAAGAAGACGCAUGGAAUUGUGACGCCAAGGAGAGCGAGGCACAGGAGCACGGUGACACGGUCGGCCGGCAGAUCUGCAGUGGCUGCCGCCGUCUCCGCACGAUAUCUCGAUCGGAUACUGUUGAGAUAGCUAGCCGGCCGCCGUUCCAUUCAUGGUGCUUGUACUCGUCCGAUCGAAUUCCUGGCCGCACACGCCAUUUCUUUGACUUUUGUGCUGCCGCUCGAUCGGUCUAAUAAAUUAAGGGGCUCGGGCGAUAUGCA